UACGGAGGAUGCAAGCGUUAUCCGGAAUGAUUGGGCGUAAAGCGUCCGCAGGUGGCUGUGUAAGUCUGCUGUCAAAGAGCGAAGCUCAACUUCGUAAAGGCAGUGGAAACUACACGGCUAGAGUGCGUUCGGGGCAGAGGGAAUUCCUGGUGUAGCGGUGAAAUGCGUAGAGAUCAGGAAGAACACCGGUGGCGAAAGCACUCUGCUGGGCCGACACUGACACUGAGAGACGAAAGCUAGGGGAGCGAAUGGG
rnacentral:rRNA from 1 species